GAGAAACGUGAGGAAGGCUGUUGGUGACUCACCCCCUGGAAGUGAGCAGAGGAACUUCAUCAAGCCGACUAGGUUAGCUGGCCAGUGUGCUCCAAGGAUCUGCUUGUCAUCUUGUCAUUGUUGGGCUUACAGAAACUAGAAUGUCUCGCCUGAAAGGCUCUUCUGGUUCAAGACCUGUUUGUGAAUGCAUAUGUUUGUACCUUGAUCUCACUCAGCAAUCACUGCUCCCAAGCUCAUUGGCUUUCCCAGCUUCUCCUCUCCUUGAUGAACCCUCUCCUCCUCUCAAGUCAUCGUCCUGUGUGUCACGGUAUCGUAUAUUCCAGCAUUGCCUCAAAUUCACUGCAUGGUUUGAUUAUGACCUCGAAAAUCUCAUCCUCUACCUCUCUUCCAGAGUGCUGGAAUUACAGAUUAUUUUUAGUUGGAGCCAUUUUCUUCCAUUGCCAUCUGUCCUCUACAUUUCAGAAGGUAAAACACUAAAGAAGGCCAGAUGGAAGUACUCAAGAAUUCCCUGAAUACAUCAUAUUCAGCAGAUCAAGAAACUAGAGCUUCAGGAUGGAGAGAAGACUACACCCGAGAUCCUUCAUUCAAUCUGCUUUCCAUGUUGCUACCAAGAGCCCAUAUGUGAAACCUGCUUCCUAUAGGAUGCUCCUGACCAACCAUAGUUGUCUUAGUUGAGCUGUUUCAACUUCUUAUGUCCCAUGUAUAUAUAUGGUCUCUAGGGGCCAGGAACAGAUAGGUGCAGCUUACCAAAGGGUCUUUGCCUGAAGAUUGAUCAGACUGGGCUGGAGUCAAUGCUGCAGCGAAACUGCUGAGAGAAUACAGAUGCCAUUAAGGACAUGCUGUUCCAUAGCAGGAGACGAAAGGGGUUCCACACUCUCACCUGUUUAACAAACAUGGGGCAGAAAGUCACCCCUCUUGUUGGGAGCAACAAACGUCUCUGGAUAAAUCCACAAGGAUAAUUUGGGGAAGGUUAGUAAAUGGACACACUCCUUCUAGAAGCCUGGCUUUUGUGCUAAACUUACUUUCCUGAAGUUAUAUUUUCCAGGGUCUUCUAAGCAUCUCCAUGAGAAAACACCAAAAGGAAACUGUUGCCAAGAUGGUAAGAUGCUUACAGACCCAUUGCCCACUCCGCAUACACAGAAUGAAUUGGGCUGGCUCUUGAAGUCCCGGGACAUUAGGGCUCCAGGUGUUUCUAAGGUACAGUCACCUUGUGAUGAUUACUAUUGAGUGUCCACUUCACAGGGUCGAGAAUCAUCUACAAGAUAAACUUCCAGGCUUACAUGUUAGGCUGUUUCUGGACUGGAGAAAUGAAGGUGGGAAGACUCAUUCUAAACAUGGGUAGAUCAUCCCAUAGGUUGAGGUUCUGGACUGAAUAAAAAGGAGAAAGACAACUUAGCAGCAGCAUUCAGCUUCCCCAUCUCCCUAUUGUGGACACAAUGUGACCAGCUGCCUAGUUCUUCUGGUUGCCACAACUUCUAUGAAAUGUACCCUCAACCUAUAAAUAAACCCUGCCUCCCU
rnacentral:lncRNA from 1 species